rnacentral:lncRNA from 1 species
CAACUUGGUAGAAUUCAUCUACAGAGGACCAAAACGAGAGUUUGUUGCUAGUAAGCCCCCAGUUGGCCAAACGAUCUGCAACUACAGCAUUUUUAGAAUAUCUUGACGACCAUCCAUAACUAAAUUGCUUGGAACUUUCAAGAAAAGUUCGGAGAUCCGUGAUUCUUGUUCGAGCUUCAUCUGUUAACGAAACUGAAUGAUAGCUCCUAAGAUGCAAGGCUUUGAUGAUGGGUGCUGAAUCUGAGUAGAUAUGAAAAGUUUCUCCCGGAUACCUUUGCAACAAAAGAUUUGUCGCUCGGGAAAGUGCUCCAAUUUCCGCGGAGCCAGCGUCAUGGACAUCCUUCAGUAC